GGCCGCGGUGGACCUCAUCUGAGAGACUUCCUACAUAAACACCACAGUAGUUUGCCUGUUCCCGGCAGUCACUCGUUCGCAGGUGUGUCUGCGUCCUUCCGUCCACCGUCUGCGGCGCGGCACGCUCACACCGAAGUGCUGCAGUACCGAGACUGGACCCCGGGGGGUCACGGCAGGGGUCAGGAGGUCAGGGAGAGGACGGCGGAGGAGACACUGAAGUUGCGGCAGAGUUUAGUGCAGAUCUUUCCGGACCAGGAGAGCGUGAUUAUCAUGAUCCUGCAGUGUCACCCGACCGUCAGAGACGUCAGCCGACUCACAGACCUCGUCCUGGAGCAACAGGAAUAAACACCAACAUGACACGCAGCAUCUGGACAUACACAGCUGGCUUUAAAUUGUGCUCAAGACAAAACAAAAAAUAUUUCCUUACCAUUCCAAAACUGUCUUCUAAUGUGUUUUCAUUUUAAACGUAAUUUAUAUAUUCAACAAGUGUAAAUGAUGAAUAUACAAUGGCCGAGACGCGCUGCAACUUAAGAAAACACAUGCAAAUAGAAAACACAUGCUUUUAGGAGUUCUUAAUUUGAAAUGUUAACACUUGAUGUUUUGUUGAUACUAUUUAUUUUCACAUGCUCCUUUCUUGAUGUAAGGAUAAUAAACAGACGACGAGUGUUAGAGACCAAAUCAACCAAAGAAUACGUCUUAAUGAGUUUAGGUUUCAUGUUUUUCUUUCAGGGACGACGGAUGUAAAUGAGCAAUGUUGCUAUAAUCUGACAUGUUUACAUUUUGAAUUUUUAUACAGAUGUUCAUUAAUGUGCUCUGUCCCCAUUAAACAGCUACAUAAA